rnacentral:rRNA from 1 species
UACGGAGGGUGCAAACGUUGUCCGGAAUCACUGGGCGUAAAGCGCAUGUAGGUGGCUUGAUCAGUGGACGAUUAAAUACCGAUGCUUAACAUCGGAACUGUUGUCCAUACUGUCUGGCUUGAGAAUGACAGGGGUAAGCGGAACUUUAGGUGUAGGAGUGAAAUCCGUAGAUAUCUAAAGGAACACCAAUGGCGAAGGCAGCUUACUGGGUCUUUUCUGACACUGAGAUGCGAAAAGCGUGGGGAGCGAACGGG